UCCUCUCUCCCAACCUCUGGUCGGGGCGUUGGAUCGAGUUGCGGUCCGUCCGCAACUGGUCUCAAAGACAAUGACGGCGUCCGUGGGACCCUCUCCGCAACGAGUCUUUCGAGGCACGCGGGGAGUUGCAAGGUCUCGUCGGGUCGGUCGACACCUUUAUUUUUUGCUA
rnacentral:misc_RNA from 1 species